UUUGCGAAUCGUCCGCUAUCAUUUAACAUUGGACUGUAAAAUAAACAACAUACAAUGCAGAAGCAAGCCUUUACUCAAGUAACCAAUUCAUCGUCUAUUCCGGAUUUUAUUUUACGAGAUAACCUUCAUUUAACCACAGAAUGUAAAGAGCAAUUGCAGGAUUUAAGACAACGUAUUCACGACUAUAUUGAUGGUGAGACCGAUGUAACAAUAUCAGUUUACGUCACUGGGGGAUUAUAUGAUGAAUUAUAUAAGUUCAGACUCGGAGAUGGAACUGAACAUUUGAUAAUAAAUGUCUGUAAUCAUAACACUACACAUGUGUAUGGAACUGAUCGAAAAAGAACACAAAUCUACAGAAAUACCAAGGAAGCCCUUCUUAAGCUUGGUGGUGGGGCUGCGGUGACGAUGGUUGCCAGUACUUUAGGACCUGGUGCAGCUCUUCUUGGUUUGCUUGCAUUUUGCUACAUGGAUAUUCGAAAAAACUUCUUGCAAAUUGAUGAUAAGUGAAUUUGUUAUUCUUGUAUUGAACUUCAGUUGAAAUCCGUUAUGUCAUUUCAACUAUGACAGGUAGCCAAUAAAUGAACAAAUGCAAUUU